GUCUAUGGCCAUUUCACCCUGAGUGUGCCAACCUCAGCCAAGCAGGGUCCAGCUUGGAUGGGCGACCACCUGAGUUACCUGGUGCUAUGGGCU
rnacentral:rRNA from 1 species